rnacentral:rRNA from 1 species
CCUACGGGUGGCAGCAGUGGGGAAUAUUGGACAAUGGGGGGAACCCUGAUCCAGCGACGCCGCGUGAGUGAAGAAGUAUUUCGGUAUGUAAAGCUCUAUCAGCAGGGAAGAAAGAAAUGACGGUACCUGACUAAGAAGCCCCGGCUAACUACGUGCCAGCAGCCGCGGUAAUACGUAGGGGGCAAGCGUUAUCCGGAUUUACUGGGUGUAAAGGGAGCGUAGACGGCGAUGCAAGUCUGAAGUGAAAGGCGGGGGCCCAACCCCUGGACUGCUUUGGAAACUGUAUGGCUGGAGUACAGGAGAGGUAGGUGGAAUUCCUAGUGUAGCGGUGAAAUGCGUAGAUAUUAGGAGGAACACCAGUGGCGAAGGCGGCUUACUGGACUGUAACUGACGUUGAGGCUCGAAAGCGUGGGGAGCAAACAGGAUUAGAUACCCUUGUAGUC